CUGGCGGGUUCCUUAGGUGAGGAAAAAGUAACAAUAGCAAACAUAUAUACACCAAAUAAUAAUCAAAUAAGCUUUUUACAGAAAGCGAUAAGACGCAUUGAGGAAUAUAAACAAGGCAAAUUAUUUAUGUGUGGUGAUUAUAACUGCACGUUGGAUCCAGAGUUUGAUGUUUCAGGAGAUGAGACACCAACCAUGAGAAAGGCUGCUUUAAGUGCCAGAUUAGCAAAAUUAAUGAUAACUCACAGUCUAUAUGAUACUUGGAGGGCUAAAUACCCUCAAUUUAGAGAUUAUACGUUUUAUUCAGCGGCACAUUUAAA